rnacentral:misc_RNA from 1 species
GAUGAAGAACGCAUCGAAAUGCGAUAAGUAAUGUGAAUUGCAGAAUUCAGUGAAUCAUCGAAUCUUUGAACGCACAUUGCGCCCCCUGGUAUUCCGGGGGGCAUGCCUGUUCGAGCGUCAUUUCACCACUCAAGCCUCGCUUGGUAUUGGGCAUCGCGGUCCGCCGCGCGCCUCAAAUCGACCGGCUGGGUCUUCUGUCCCCUAAGCGUUGUGGAAACUAUUCGCUAAAGGGUGUUCGGGAGGCUACGCCGUAAAACAACCCCAUUUCUAAGGUUGACCUCGGAUCAGGUAGGAAUACCCGCUGAACUUAAGCAUAUCAAUAAGCGGAGGA